rnacentral:rRNA from 1 species
GAGCAGCCCAGAGCCUGAAUCAGUGUGUGUGUUAGUGGAAGCGUCUGGAAAGGCGUGCGAUACAGGGUGACAGCCCCGUACACAAAAAUGCACAUAUUGUGAGCUCGAUGAGUAGGGCGGGACACGUGGUAUCCUGUCUGAAUAUGGGGGGACCAUCCUCCAAGGCUAAAUACUCCUGACUGACCGAUAGUGAACCAGUACCGUGAGGGAAAGGCGAAAAGAACCCCGGCGAGGGGAGUGAAAAAGAACCUGAAACCGUGUACGUACAAGCAGUGGGAGCACGCUUAGGCGUGUGACUGCGUACCUUUUGUAUAAUGGGUCAGCGACUUAUAUUCUGUAGCAAGGUUAACCGAAUAGGGGAGCCGAAGGGAAACCGAGUCUUAACUGGGCGUUAAGUUGCAGGGUAUAGACCCGAAACCCGGUGAUCUAGCCAUGGGCAGGUUGAAGGUUGGGUAACACUAACUGGAGGACCGAACCGACUAAUGUUGAAAAAUUAGCGGAUGACUUGUGGCUGGGGGUGAAAGGCCAAUCAAACCGGGAGAUAGCUGGUUCUCCCCGAAAGCUAUUUAGGUAGCGCCUCGUGAAUUCAUCUCCGGGGGUAGAGCACUGUUUCGGCAAGGGGGUCAUCCCGACUUACCAACCCGAUGCAAACUGCGAAUACCGGAGAAUGUUAUCACGGGAGACACACGGCGGGUGCUAACGUCCGUCGUGAAGAGGGAAACAACCCAGACCGCCAGCUAAGGUCCCAAAGUCAUGGUUAAGUGGGAAACGAUGUGGGAAGGCCCAGACAGCCAGGAUGUUGGCUUAGAAGCAGCCAUCAUUUAAAGAAAGCGUAAUAGCUCACUGGUCGAGUCGGCCUGCGCGGAAGAUGUAACGGGGCUAAACCAUGCACCGAAGCUGCGGCAGCGACGCUGAUGCGUUGUUGGGUAGGGGAGCGUUCUGUAAGCCUGUGAAGGUGUGCUGUGAGGUAUGCUGGAGGUAUCAGAAGUGCGAAUGCUGACAUAAGUAACGAUAAAGCGGGUGAAAAGCCCGCUCGCCGGAAGACCAAGGGUUCCUGUCCAACGUUAAUCGGGGCAGGGUGAGUCGACCCCUAAGGCGAGGCCGAAAGGCGUAGUCGAUGGGAAACAGGUUAAUAUUCCUGUACUUGGUGUUACUGCGAAGGGGGGACGGAGAAGGCUAUGUUGGCCGGGCGACGGUUGUCCCGGUUUAAGCGUGUAGGCUGGUUUUCCAGGCAAAUCCGGAAAACUAAGGCUGAGGCGUGAUGACGAGGCACUACGGUGCUGAAGCAACAAAUGCCCUGCUUCCAGGAAAAGCCUCUAAGCAUCAGGUAACAUCAAAUCGUACCCCAAACCGACACAGGUGGUCAGGUAGAGAAUACCAAGGCGCUUGAGAGAACUCGGGUGAAGGAACUAGGCAAAAUGGUGCCGUAACUUCGGGAGAAGGCACGCUGAUAUGUAGGUGAAGUCCCUCGCGGAUGGAGCUGAAAUCAGUCGAAGAUACCAGCUGGCUGCAACUGUUUAUUAAAAACACAGCACUGUGCAAACACGAAAGUGGACGUAUACGGUGUGACGCCUGCCCGGUGCCGGAAGGUUAAUUGAUGGGGUCAGCGCAAGCGAAGCUCUUGAUCGAAGCCCCGGUAAACGGCGGCCGUAACUAUAACGGUCCUAAGGUAGCGAAAUUCCUUGUCGGGUAAGUUCCGACCUGCACGAAUGGCGUAAUGAUGGCCAGGCUGUCUCCACCCGAGACUCAGUGAAAUUGAACUCGCUGUGAAGAUGCAGUGUACCCGCGGCAAGACGGAAAGACCCCGUGAACCUUUACUAUAGCUUGACACUGAACAUUGAGCCUUGAUGUGUAGGAUAGGUGGGAGGCUUUGAAGUGUGGACGCCAGUCUGCAUGGAGCCGACCUUGAAAUACCACCCUUUAAUGUUUGAUGUUCUAACGUUGACCCGUAAUCCGGGUUGCGGACAGUGUCUGGUGGGUAGUUUGACUGGGGCGGUCUCCUCCUAAAGAGUAACGGAGGAGCACGAAGGUUGGCUAAUCCUGGUCGGACAUCAGGAGGUUAGUGCAAUGGCAUAAGCCAGCUUGACUGCGAGCGUGACGGCGCGAGCAGGUGCGAAAGCAGGUCAUAGUGAUCCGGUGGUUCUGAAUGGAAGGGCCAUCGCUCAACGGAUAAAAGGUACUCCGGGGAUAACAGGCUGAUACCGCCCAAGAGUUCAUAUCGACGGCGGUGUUUGGCACCUCGAUGUCGGCUCAUCACAUCCUGGGGCUGAAGUAGGUCCCAAGGGUAUGGCUGUUCGCCAUUUAAAGUGGUACGCGAGCUGGGUUUAGAACGUCGUGAGACAGUUCGGUCCCUAUCUGCCGUGGGCGCUGGAGAACUGAGGGGGGCUGCUCCUAGUACGAGAGGACCGGAGUGGACGCAUCACUGGUGUUCGGGUUGUCAUGCCAAUGGCACUGCCCGGUAGCUAAAUGCGGAAGAGAUAAGUGCUGAAAGCAUCUAAGCACGAAACUUGCCCCGAGAUGAGUUCUCCCUGACUCCUUGAGAGUCCUGAAGGAACGUUGAAGACGACGACGUUGAUAGGCCGGGUGUGUAAGCGCAGCGAUGCGUUGAGCUAACCGGUACUAAUGAACCGUGAGGCUUAACCUUACAACGCCGAAGGUGUUU